UAAAUGUGUGUUAGCUAGGUUAAAUGUGUGUUAUCUAGGUUAAUUGUGUGUUAGCUAGGUUAAAUGUAUAUUAUAUAGGUUAAAUAUGUGUUAGUUAGCUAGGUUAAAUGUGUGUUAUCUAGGUUAAAUGUGUGUUAGCUAGGUUAAAUGUGUUUUAUCUAGGUUAAUUGUGUGUUAGAUGGGUUAUGUGUGUGUUAGUUAUCUAGGUUAAAUGUGUGUUAUCUAGGUUAAAUGUGUGUUAUCUAGGUUAAAUGUGUGUUAUCUAGGUUAAAUGUGUGUUAGUUAGCUAGGUUAAAUGUGUGUUAGCUAGGUUAAAUGUGUGUAAGUUAGCAUGGUUAAAUGUGUGUUAGUUAGCUAGGUUAAAUGUGUGUUAUUAUCUGGGUUAAAUGUGUAUUAUCUAGGUUAAAUGUGUGUUAGCUAGGUUAAAUGUGUGUAAGUUAGCACGGUUAAAUGUGUGUUAGUUAGCUAGGUUAAAUGUGUGUUAGCUAGGUUAAAUGUGUGUUAUUAUCUGGGUUAAAUGUGUAUUAUCUAGGUUAAAUGUGUUAGUUAGCUAGGUUAAAUGUGUGUUAGCUAGGUUAAAUGUGUGUUAGUUAGCUAGGUUAAAUGUGUGUUAGCUAGGUUAAAUGUGUGUUAUUUAGCUAGGUUAAAUGUGUGUAAGUUAGCUAGGUUAAAUGUGUGUGUGUUAGUUAGCUAGGUUAAAUAUGUUAUUAUUAUUAUUAUUAUUAUUAUUAUUAUUAUUAUUAUUAUUAUUAUUAUUAUUAUUAUUAUUAUUAAUGUAUAUUUCCCUUUGUAAUACUGUGUUUUGAUCUGCAGUAACUCUCCAGUAAUUAGUAAUUAGUUACCAUGUUUCUCACUUUAUAAUACUGUGAUAUGAUCUGCAAUAACUUCUAAAGAAGAACACAAUAACUCAUCAACCCCAGUAAUGGGUUACCAUGUGCUGCUGGUAACUCCUGAAAAAAAGAAGACAGGGACACCUAAUUAAGGAUCUAUGAAGAACACAGGGACGCCUAGUCUGCUAUCUACACAAAUAUUUAUUCAUUUAAACAUGAUUCCCCCCAGAAUAAGGAUGUAGAACACAACCUACAGUAAGUAUGUGAGCCAUCACUUCUACUGAGCACAUCUCCAGCAGGACUGAAGUGGAGCACAGUUUUAGAAUAAACACCUGUAACACACUGACAGAACUUGGGGUUAGCAAACUACUGCACAUUUCAGUGUGUCUAACAUUUGGAAGAUAUUGAGCAUACUAAGGUAAGUAAGGUUAACAUAUGAUAAGUGGUGUCACUGACUUUAAUAUCACCACUGAUAGAAUAACCUGCAGCAGCAAAUAAACACACUAAAAGAGGCUAGCGGUUAUAUCCUAAUAAUGCGCACUUAAAGUCUAUGUGAGACUGCAAGGCUGAAGAUGAACGUUUAUAAGGUUGGUUCUCAAUAUUGAAGCAGUGAUCAUUAAAACAAAAUUGAGUAUAGUCAGUCUUAGAAAGUCUUAGAUGCCUUCUGGAGAACAUAAUUUAUGUCUCCUAUGUAAUAAUAUUACGUUACAAAGUUUCUUUUCUUUCAAAAAUAUGGGUUAAGCAGACUACUAUACACUGUAGUAUUUUACAAUAUGUUGCUAAUAUUUGGAAGAUAAUAAGGUAAUUAAUGUUACUACUACAAAUGGUGUCAAUGGCUUCAAAUAUGCCUUUAAUAUCACCACUGAUCGAAUAAUUGUUUGUGUAGACUGAUUUAGAUCUAUAGUUCCCCAGGUGGCAUGUAAGGGUUUUCAGUAGUUAAUGUUGAUUUGAGCAGUAGUUAAUGAAUAGUUAUUAUAAAGGAGACAUAAUUAGUAAAUGGUUCUUCAGGAGAUAAGUCUCCUGUGGAGUUAAUUGUGAACUACUAUAAUCAUUAGUUCAGUACUAUCUACUGAGUAAUUAUUCAGUACUCCCUGGUAGUUAAUAGAAAAUAUUUAGGUGUUAAUGCAGCACUAUUAAUUAGUUCCUGCUUAGUUACCUAUUAACUAUGGAACAGUAUUAUAAAGUGUUACAUAGAAUUUUAUUAAAAUUAAAGACUUUUGUCGCAGACUUAGCAGUAUGUAGUGAUAAAGUGAUUACAGUAGGAGACAUUGAAAAAUUGGAUGAUACACUAAAAAAGGCAUUCACAUCGUUUUUAGACUUAGUCGGUACUGUUCAGAAAAUAACAGGACCUACUCAUUACUGUAAUCAUACUCUGGAUUUAGUUUUGACCCUGGGUGUUAGCAUAGAUAACCUGAAUAUUCGUUCUCAAACUUCAGCAAUUUAGAUCAUUAUCUUAUUUCAUUUAAAUUACAUCUCAGUCAUAAUAUACGUACAUCUCCUAGCUACUCAAUGAAAUGUUCAAUCAUGCCUUUUACAGCCCAACAAUUUACUGAUAAGCUUCCCGAUUUAUCAACUAUAACGUACUCUCCUGUAGACUCAGUAGAACUAGACAAACUAACCGAAGGUUUUGAAAAUACUGUAACGACUGGCACAGAGAUGAGGAAGCAUGCUCGUACCAAGAAGCUCUUUAUUAACAGGGUACUGCUCGCUUACAGUUCUUAAAAUGGUUUGGAGAGUAACACCCAAUCUCCACCACAGCCAAAAAUCCCCCCAGGUGGCCAGGCUGGCUAACCUACACAGCCAUGGCAGGCCCCCCUAAACCACCCAAAAUACACCACCACAAUGCCCUGCUGCCCCCCGAUUAACAUAAACCCACCCCUACAGACACACUAUAAGCACAUCCACACAAACACCCUGUGACAAUCGUCACAAUACCUUUUGCUCCACCUUACUGUACGUUCACACCGAACGCGAUAAAA